rnacentral:misc_RNA from 1 species
GAUGAAGAACGUAGCGAAAUGCGAUAAGUAAUGUGAAUUGCAGAAUUCAGUGAAUCAUCGAAUCUUUGAACGCACCUUGCACCCUUUGGCAUUCCGAAGGGUAUGCUCGUUUGAGUGUCAUUGUACUCUCACACUUCCAAUCUUUGGAUUGGGGGCGGUGGACUUGGGUGUUGCUGCUUACUGUGGCUCACCUCAAAUUGAUUCGUGCACCUCUUGGUUGGACAUAGUACGGCGUGAUAAGUGUCUUCGCCGGCACCUCAGUAGAGGGUGGCUGAUCGGGAGCUCUGUGCUUCAAACCGUCCUCGGACAACAACUGACAACUUGACCUCAAAUCGAGUAGGACUACCCGCUGAGCUUAAGCAUAUCAAUAAGCGGAGGA